GGGCGAGCAUUUUCGAGAAGUGAUGAAGCGAAUCCAGAGCCUGCUGGACAUCCAGGAGAAGGAGUUUGAGAAGUUUAAAUUUGCAAUUGUAAUGAUGGGCCGACACCAGUACAUAAAUGAAGACGAGUAUGAAGUAAAUUUGAAAGACUUUGAGCCACAGCCCGGUAAUAUGUCUCAUCCUCGGCCUUGGCUAGGGCUCGACCACUUCAACAAAGCCCCAAAGAGGAGUCGCUACACUUACCUUGAAAAGGCCAUUAAAAUCCAUAACUGAUUUCCAAGCUGGUGUGUUCAAGGCGAGGACGGUGUGUGGGUGGCCCCUUAACAGCCUAGAACUUUGGUGCACGUGCCCUCUAGCCGAAGUCUUCAGCAAGAGGAUUCGCUGCUGGUGUUAAUUUUAUUUUAUUGAGGCUGUUCAGUUUGGCUUCUCUGUAUCUAUUGACUGCCCUUUUUGAGCAAAAUGAAGAUGUUUUUAUAAAGCUUGGAUGCCAAUGAGAGUUAUUUUAUGGUAACCACAGUGCAAGGCAACUGUCAGCGCAAUGGGGGAGAAGAGGUUAGUGGAUCGGGGGUCCCUGGCUCAAGGUCUCUGGGCUGUCCCUAGUGGGCACGAGUGGCUCGGCUGCCUUCCUGGGGUCCCGUGCACCAGCCCUGCAGCUAGCAAGUCUUGUGUUUAGGCUCGUCUGACCUAUUUCCUUCAGUUAUACUUUCAAUGACCUUUUGUGCAUCUGUUAAGGCAAAACAGAGAAACUCACAACCUAAUAAAUAGC
rnacentral:lncRNA from 1 species